UCCAGACUCCUACGGGAGGCAGCAGUGGGGAAUAUUGCACAAUGGGGGGAACCCUGAUGCAGCGACGCCGCGUGAGUGAAGAAGUAUUUCGGUAUGUAAAGCUCUGUCAGCAGGGAAGAAGAAAGACGGUACCUGAGUAAGAAGCCCCGGCUAACUACGUGCCAGCAGCCGCGGUAAUACGUAGGGGGCAAGCGUUAUCCGGAUUUACUGGGUGUAAAGGGAGCGUAGACGGCAUGGCAAGUCUGAAGUGAAAGCCCGGGGCUCAACCGCGGGACUGCUUUGGAAACUGUUAAGCUGGGGUGCAGGAGAGGUAAGUGGAAUUCCUAGUGUAGCGGUGAAAUGCGUAGAUAUUAGGAGGAACACCAGUGGCGAAGGCGGCUUACUGGACUGUAACUGACGUUGAGGCUCGAAAGCGUGGGGAGCAAACAGGAUUAGAUACCCGGGUAC
rnacentral:rRNA from 1 species